AUGAGCAAGUCGUCGUGGCCGGAGCUAGUGGGCGUCCUGGCGACGCUGGCGGCGACGCAGAUCGCGCACGACCGGCCCGACGUCGCCGUCGAGGUGCUCCCGCCCGGUGCGCCGCUGAUGCCCGACUACAACGCCCAGCGCGUCCGCGUCUUCAUCAAUCUCGGCGGCGUCGUCUCCAAGACCCCCGUCAUCGGCUAG
rnacentral:rRNA from 1 species